AAACCAAUAAAAGAAAAAGCCACCAACCAUGUAAUGGCUACUUUUAACCACUUAACAUACAGUUUAAAUCUCUAAAGAGGAAUAAUAAUACAUUUAUUUCUGAAGUACCUGAAGUUGCCAAAGGCACUCAGGGUGCUCUGCGAUAUAAAACCGUUUCUAAAAAUAACUUAGCACAUUAUAAAAAGGCUCUGUGUAGUGAAUGUACUUAGUGAGCAGGUGAAACGUUUCUGACAGAACAUGUUUCUCCUGGAAGAGGCUGGUCCACUUGAACUGGAUCAGUUUGAGGGGGUUUCCAGUGUGAAGCUAGCCAGGCAAUUCUUGAAUUUUUUUUACAAAAAAAAAAAACAAAAAACAAAACUGUUCUGGUGGUGCCAGCUGUGGGGCUGGAAUGGAAGGCAGUGGUUGCAGUUGUUGUUGGGGAUGGAGCUCCUUGAUAAAGGCUCUGCAAUGGAAGGGAUGCAACACCAGGGAUGCAAUGCCAGGGAUGCAAUGCCAGGGAUGCAACACCAAGGGAUGCAAUGGCAAGGAUGCAAUGGCCAGGGAUGCAAUGGAAGAGAUGCAAUGGCAGGGAUGCAACGGCCAGGGAUGCAACGGCAGGGAUGCAAUGGAAGAGAUGCAAUGGCAGGGAUGCAAGGGCCAGGGAUGCAAUGGCCAGGGAUGCAACGGCAGGGAUGCAAUGCCAAGGGAUGCAACGGCAGGGAUGCAAUGCAAGGGAUGCAAUGCAAGGGAUGCAAUGCCAGGGAUGCAAUGCCAGGAAUGCAAUGGCCAGGGAUGCAAUGCCAGGGAUGCAAUGCCAAGGGAUGUAAUGGUUAGGGAUGCAAUGCCAGGGAUGCAAUGCCAGGGAUGCAACACCAAGGGAUGCAAUGGCAAGGAUGCAAUGGCCAGGGAUGCAAUGGAAGAGAUGCAAUGGCAGGGAUGCAACGGCCAGGGAUGCAACGGCAGGGAUGCAAUGGAAGAGAUGCAAUGGCAGGGAUGCAAGGGCCAGGGAUGCAAUGGCCAGGGAUGCAACGGCAGGGAUGCAAUGCCAAGGGAUGCAACGGCAGGGAUGCAAUGCAAGGGAUGCAAUGCAAGGGAUGCAAUGCCAGGGAUGCAAUGCCAGGAAUGCAAUGGCCAGGGAUGCAAUGCCAGGGAUGCAAUGCCAAGGGAUGUAAUGGUUAGGGAUGCAAUGCCAGGGAUGCAAUGCCAGGGAUGCAACACCAAGGGAUGCAAUGGCAAGGAUGCAAUGCAAGGGAUGCAACGGCAGGGAUGCAAUGUCAAGGGAUGCAAUGGCCAGGGAUGCAAUGGCAAGAAUGCAAUGGCCAAGGAUGCAAUGGCAGGGAUGCAAUGUCAAGGGAUGCAAUGGCCAGGGAUGCAAUGGCAAGAAUGCAAUGGCCAGGGAUGCAAUGGCAGGGAUGCACCAAUCCCUGUGCCACAUUCCCCAACUCCAUCCGGAGAGAAAAGUCCUCUCGGCCACCCAGCCCUAGGAGCAGGCACAGAGUAUAGGAGCAGAGCCGGUUCCUUUGCCAGCUGCAGCUCCCGGGAUGCAGGAAUGGGCAGGGACAGAGGCUCGGGGCCGCCCGGGCAGAGCCCGCAUCCCCCCUCCGCGUCCAGCCGGCAACGACCCCCGCUGGAAAGCGAGCAAAUAAAUCCGGGAGGAGGAUUCCCGAGCUGCGGGAGGCGGGGAGGAGGAGGAGGAGGGCCUGUUGCUAUUUGCGGUGGCUCCGUUCGUACCGAAAUUCCGGCGGCAGCGCUCCCGCCGCCGCUCGGGGUUUUGGGAGCGGCCCCGGCCAGCCCCGGCCGCUCAGCCCCGGUGACGGGCAGCGAUUCUCGGGAGGACAGCAGCCUCCAGAGCAGCUCCUGCGGAAAGUUUGGCUGCUGGGAAGGGCCUGGGAGGGAGCUGCGCUGCGCUCUCAUCUGUGUCCUAGGGCCUAAUUGAGUUGGAUACAAAUAUAAACUUACAACAGACGCUUCAGUCGCUCUCUUUAGCUCCUCUCACAAAAAGCCGGUUUAAUGAUCUUUC
ensembl:lncRNA